UUUGUACCCGUUCCGGCUCAAUCCGGCCUCAUCAUGCUUUUUGUCAGGCCGAUCCUGAGGUUGCGAACUAGAGGCACGACCAGGAUAGAGGCGAAUUCAGGAACAUGCCGAUGGGCCUCCGGGUGCGCUUUCAUUAAAUGACUGGAGGACGUCGGGAGGAAGGGAACCGAGGAGGAGGAUAAAACGCGGUGCCUAGAAAUGCUGGAGUCGGAGUGGAGCCAGAAAUGAACGCCUUGCUGAGACGCUGUCGUCUGUGUUGUCCCGCAGCUCUCUGAUGGGAGAUAGCGAGGCUGGUCGUAGGGGUGCGACUGCAGAGAAGCGUGGGUGAGGGGUCUGAUGGAUGCGCCGAUUUUGAGUCAAGAGCCUUUUUCUGGAACGCACUUCCCCCCGCUCACAAAAAUGAUUACGGAGUUCUAGGCCCAACGAGGUUGCGUCUUUCUCCCUUUCACUCUGCCCGUAUUCCAGCCCAGAGAAUCCCUGUCAAGGAAUUUUACCCUCAAAGAUGUCAAGGAAAGAUACAUGGGUCUUGGAAGAUAAUUACUCAAAACAUGAAGGGAAGGAAUAAAAUUGAAGAAUGUUUUUCCUAGAGAACAUCAUUUGACAGAUUUAUUUGAUCAAGAAUAUGAACAUUAGGCUUGGUGAGGU